rnacentral:rRNA from 1 species
CCUACGGGAGGCAGCAGUGGGGAAUAUUGGGCAAUGGGCGCAAGCCUGACCCAGCAACGCCGCGUGAAGGAAGAAGGCUUUCGGGUUGUAAACUUCUUUUCUGAGGGACGAAGAAAGUGACGGUACCUCAGGAAUAAGCCACGGCUAACUACGUGCCAGCGUCCGCGGUAAUACGUAGGUGGCAAGCGUUAUCCGGAUGUAUUGGGUGUAAAGGGCGUGUAGGCGGGAAAGCAAGUCAGAUGUGAAAACUCAGGGCUCAAACCUGAGCCUGCAUUUGAAAAUGUUUUUCUUGAGUGCUGGAGAGGCAAUCGGAAUUCCGUGUGUAGCUGUGAAAUGCGUAGAUAUACGGAGGAACACCAGUGGCGAAGGCGGAUUGCUGGACAGUAACUGACGCUGAGGCGCGAAAGCGUGGGGAGCAAACAGGAUUAGAUACCCGAGUAGUC